UACGUAGGGGGCAAGCGUUGUCCGGAUUUAUUGGGUUUAAAGGGUGCGUAGGCGGUCUUGUAAGUCAGUGGUGAAAUACGGCAGCUCAACUGUCGAGGUGCCAUUGAUACUGUAGGACUUGAGUACAGACGAGGUAGGCGGAAUUGACGGUGUAGCGGUGAAAUGCUUAGAUAUCGUCAAGAACACCGAUAGCGAAGGCAGCUUACUAGGCUGUAACUGACGCUGAGGCACGAAAGUGUGGGGAUCAAACAGG
rnacentral:rRNA from 1 species